GACGAACGCUGGCGGCGUGCUUAACACAUGCAAGUCGAGCGGUAAGGCCCUUUCGGGGGUACACGAGCGGCGAACGGGUGAGUAACACGUGGGUGACCUGCCCUCAGCUCUGGGAUAAGCCUGGGAAACCGGGUCUAAUACUGGAUAUGACUCCAUGACGCAUGUUGUGGGGUGGAAAGCCUUGUGCGGCUGAGGAUGGGCCCGCGGCCUAUCAGCUUGUUGGUGGGGUGANGGCCUACCAAGGCGACGACGGGUAGCCGGCCUGAGAGGGCGACCGGCCACACUGGGACUGAGACACGGCCCAGACUCCUACGGGAGGCAGCAGUGGGGAAUCUCGCGCAAUGGGCGAAAGCCUGACGCAGCGACGCCGCGUGAGGGAUGACGGCCUGGU
rnacentral:rRNA from 1 species